UUCAAAAUUUGAUUUAGAAUCUAGAGUUUGAUUUAGGAUUUGAUUUGAGAUCUAGAAUUUGAUUUAAAAUUUGAUUUAGGAUUUAAGAUUUUUCUAAGAUUUGAUUUAGGGUUUGAUUUAGGAUUUAGGACUUUUCUAGGAUUUGAUUUAAGAUUUGGUUCAAGGUCUACAAUUUGAUCUACAUUUUGGUAUAGAAUUUAGGAUUUAUCUAAGAUUUGAUUUAAGGUUUGAUUUAGGAUUUGGUUGAAGUCCAUCAAGAUUUCAAUUAGGAUUAAAUUAGAACUUAAUUGAGAUUUAUUCAAGAUAUAUUUGUGAUUAUUCUAAUAUUUUUUAAAGCUUCUUAAGGAUUCUUUUAAGGUUUAUUGUGGAUUUUCUUUCAACUCCUUUAAGAUUUUUUAUUGUUUCUUUUGUAAUUUCUUUAAGAUUUCUUUUGGAUUUGAUUAAAAAUUAUUUAGCAUUGUUAAGGUUUAAUUAGAGUUUAUUUAGUAUUCUAUUAGAAUUGAAAUUUUAUUAU
rnacentral:lncRNA from 1 species